AUUGAACGCUGGCGGAAUGCUUUACACAUGCAAGUCGAACGGCAGCGCGGACUUCGGUCUGGUGGCGAGUGGCGAACGGGUGAGUAAUGUAUCGGAACGUGCCCAGUCGUGGGGGAUAACGUAGUGAAAAUUACGCUAAUACCGCAUACGAUCUAUGGAUGAAAGCGGGGGAUCGCAAGACCUCGCGCGAUUGGAGCGGCCGAUAUCAGAUUAGGUAGUUGGUGGGGUAAAGGCCCACCAAGCCAACGAUCUGUAGCUGGUCUGAGAGGACGACCAGCCACACUGGAACGGAGACACGGUCCAGACUCCUACGGGAGGCAGCAGUGGGGAAUUUUGGACAAUGGGCGAAAGCCUGAUCCAGCCAUUCCGCGUGCAGGAUGAAGGCCCUCGGGUUGUAAACUGCUUUUGUACAGAACGAAAAGGUUUCUACUAAUACUAGGAGCUCAUGACGGUACUGUAAGAAUAAGCACCGGCUAACUACGUGCCAGCAGCCGGCGGUAA
rnacentral:rRNA from 1 species